rnacentral:rRNA from 1 species
GGCUGUCGUCAGCUCGUGUUGUGAAAUGUUGGGUUAAGUCCCGCAACGAGCGCAACCCUUAUCCUUUGUUGCCAGCGGUCCGGCCGGGAACUCAAAGGAGACUGCCAGUGAUAAACUGGAGGAAGGUGGGGAUGACGUCAAGUCAUCAUGGCCCUUACGACCAGGGCUACACACGUGCUACAAUGGCGCAUACAAAGAGAAGCGACCUCGCGAGAGCAAGCGGACCUCAUAAAGUGCGUCGUAGUCCGGAUUGGAGUCUGCAACUCGACUCCAUGAAGUCGGAAUCGCUAGUAAUCGUGGAUCAGAAUGCCACGGUGAAUACGUUCCCGGGCCUUGUACACACCGCCCGUCACACCAUGGGAGUGGGUUGCAAAAGAAGUAGGUAGCUUAACCUUCGGGAGGGCGCUUACCACUUUGUGAUUCAUGACUGGGGUGAAGUCGUAACAAGGUAACCGUAGGGGAACCUGCGGUUGGAUCACCUC